rnacentral:lncRNA from 1 species
AAAAAGACAGCUAGAAGACCAAAUAAAACAGUUAAAAGAACAUAUAAACAAACCUAAGAAUGAAAAAAUUUGGAUCGUUGAAGGAGAAUGGAGUAAGCGAAUAUAUAAAAAUGAGUAACUCAGAGGAAAGAAUAAAAGAUAUUUGGAAUGAAAUAUUAGUAAAAGAAGGAUUGAAAACAAUAUUAACAAAAAUAGAGGAAAACCAAGAAAAAAGUAGACAGAUU